GGAGAGAUGGGCGGCUGGGGGGUUGGGACUGAGGGUGGGGCGCCGCGGAGGGGAUGCGCUCUUCGGGCUCACGCCCCCCUCCCCAGGCCCACAUCUGCGCCCCUACUCCGGCCCUGCCGCGCUCACCGCUCACCGCUCACCGCUCGCCAGGGGCGCCGGGGACUGCGGCGGCGACCUCGGGCGGCUCCGGAUCCCGACCUCUGGGAAGCAGGAAGCGGGAAUCAGGAAGUGACAGAGGAGUGGGACAGGGGCGGGGCGAAGUCACGCGCAGAAGGCGGGGCUUUGUAAUGCUCCGCCCGCGGGGCGAGGCCUGGUCGCUAGGCCCUCAACAAACAGAGUUACCGGGAGCGAGCGCGCUUGGUUGGAACUACUUCACAGAUUUAUUUAGUUAAAUUUAUAUAUGUACCUGUCUGCAUGUGUGUAUGCGCACACAUGCCCAUGGAAAUCAGAAGGAGGCAUUGGAUCCCCUGGAGCCAAAGUUUCAUGCGUAUGAGAAAAUUGACAUUAAGAAGGAGUUUGCAACAAAAUGCAGACCUGACUGCACCCCUCCCAGCUGCCUGCACAGCUUACCACCUUGCCUUUUUAUGAUGCAAGUUUCCCAGGGAAAAGCUCAGCAUCUGCAGCUGGAGAGGAAGAACUGGCUCAGCCCUGCCUGUGACUUCCGAAGCUUCCUGGGACCAUGGUGCCCAGGGCUCUCUGCCUUUGGCCAGCUUCCUGUCUGUCUUGGGAUUCGAAUUCCAACAUACUCUGCACCCGAAGCUCCCCCAGAUCCUAUCCUACCCUCCCUGAAGGCUGGUGGCAGAUGACAUUAGUUCGGCUCUUGAAGAUUUCUGAGUCUCCCGCCCUCAAGGCACAGAGGUGGCUUGUCUGCAACCUAAGCAAUCAGAGGAUCUUAGGUGCUCCAGGCAGAUGGUGGCACUGUCCUCCUGCUGUCCAGUCCCAUCCCCUAAGGGCCAUUUUUGUAUGUCAGUGAAGUUUGAAAAGGCCAUCUGCCCCAGCGUUUCACUGUG